rnacentral:rRNA from 1 species
UACGGAGGAUCCAAGCGUUAUCCGGAAUCAUUGGGUUUAAAGGGUCCGUAGGCGGCCCUGUAAGUCAGUGGUGAAAUCUCACGGCUCAACCGUGAAAUUGCCAUUGAUACUGCAGGGCUUGAAUUACUAGGAAGUAACUAGAAUAUGUAGUGUAGCGGUGAAAUGCUUAGAGAUUACAUGGAAUACCGAUUGCGAAGGCAGGUUACUACUAGUGGAUUUGACGCUGAUGGACGAAAGCGUGGGUAGCGAACAGG